rnacentral:rRNA from 1 species
AAUAAAAUAGUUACUAUUUUAUUCGCCUGAAAAUUACAAGCCUAAGCUCAAAACUCAAAGGACUUGGCGGCGCUUUACACCCACCUAGAGGAGCCUGUCCUAUAACCGAUAACCCCCGUUAAACCUUACCUUCUUUCGCACUCAGUCUAUAUACCGCCGUCGUCAGCUUACCCUUUGAAGGGAAUAUAAGUAAGCAUAACCGGUUUAGCCCCAGACGUCAGGUCGAGGUGUAGCAUAUAAGAAGAGAAGAGAUGGGCUACAUUUCCUAUACCAGGGUCCUACGAAUAAUAUUUUGAAAUAUAUAUAUUGAAGAAGGAUUUAGCAGUAAGUAAAAAAUAGAGAGUUUU